rfam:Salmo salar isolate Sally breed double haploid chromosome ssa22, whole genome shotgun sequence.
UGCAUUCACUACUGUAAGUUGCUCUGGAUAAGAGCGUCUGCUAAAUGCCUUAAA